rnacentral:tRNA from 1 species
GGCCUCGUAGCUGAGCUAGUAGAGCGUGCGCUGUAUGCGUGGGUUCGCAUCCCACUGAGGCUA